UGGACAGAUUAUUGUAUUCGACUGUAUUCGACUUUAUUCACGGCGUGAAACAGGGGAUUACACUGUUUUUAAACGGAAAGUGAAUCAAUUAACAUAAUAGACUCCU
rfam:Nicotiana attenuata strain TT chromosome 6, whole genome shotgun sequence.